rnacentral:lncRNA from 1 species
UUCCUUCUUUUCCUCUUUUCCUGCCCUCCCCCUCAAUUUUUAAACAUUUUUUCCUUCCUCACCCCACCUCCCUCUCAAUCGUGUUACUUCUUUUCUAUUCCAUAUGAUUUCUCGUGCCAAGUGCGUAAGUGAGUCUUGUAAUCUAGAAAAAGAAUCGUUCAAGAAAUAAGAAGUGUAACACGUUUAAAACAACGUCUCUGAAAAUAAAUCUGUAUCGAAGAUCCCCUCCCUCCCUCCCUCCCUCCCUCUUCUCACCCUUUUCUGUUUCUCCCUUCACCCUUAAAAUUAAAAAGAAACAAAAAAUAAUAAUAAUAAUAAUAAACGUGUAUCAAUGCGAUAUAUAAUGAACAAAUGUUAUUGGAAAAUGUACGGUGGUGAUUGGACGAAAAGUGAAAACAUUAUUUGUUUAUGGUGAAGACAAUGAAGAGAGAGAGAAAAAGAGAAAGAGAAAGAGAAAGAGAGAGAGAGAUAGUUAUCAAUAUAACAACGGUGUAUAUAAACAAAUUAGUUUGAUUCUUAACAUUCCUUGCCAAUUUAUCUCAAAGUUUCUCUCAUUGCAACAUUUCGUGUACUACUACUAUUACUCCUAUUAAUUAUGAAUAAUAUAUAUAUAUAUAUGUGUGUACGUAUAUAUAAAUGAUAUAUAUGUAUAUGUGUAUAUAAUUGUUAUGGUUACAUGUGUAUGUGUACGUGUUAAAGUUUUGUGAAUGAGAAGAGUUCGUAGAGUUUGACCUUGAAAAAUAAUAAUUACGAGCAAAGGAAACAUAGAAGUGAAGACGAACAGAAGGAUAUGUUCUUCUAUGUAUAUAUGUAUAUGUAUAUGCAUUAUACAUGUAUUUUUAUUUCUUCGAGAUAUAAUUAACCAGGGUAACGAUCUUUAGGUGAAAGUAAAUUGGAUCAAAUUGAAAAGGACUAUGGUAACGUUAAUGAAAAGAUGAUUCAUGAUAGAUGGAAAUCAAUUCAAUUGUAACAUUCCUAACUCGUGAAUUAUAUUACUACGAGAUUUACAUUAAGUGGAUUAAUUCUUGUCUAUUACAAGAAUUCGAUUACUAUCGAGUCAGCUUUAUUCAAUUUGGAAACAACCAUUACACUCCUAGAAAGAAAAAAAAAGAAAGAAACAAUCCCCUGAUCAAAGAUUGUUCGAAAAACAGUAAAAAAAAAGAAAAAAAAAGAUCAAAGUUACACCCUCGAAGAAAAUGUUGCCACAUUACGAGUAGGGGAAUUCCGUUUUAAGAAACUAAUCGAAGUUCCCAAGGAACAAGGUAAACCUUAACUAAUACGUUUAAGGAGAAGAAGGAUCAAGUAACAAAUCUUUUUUUGGGGGAAAAAAAUAACAGUGAACCACUUCUAAACGUUUUGACUUGAGGAAAGUGUAUUCUUUCAUUCUGCUCAUCACGAUAUUAUCAUCUAAUGAGUUUUUUUUUUGUUCAUCUAAAAGAUUGAGAAAACAAAGAUCUUAUUCGUUGGUGGGGUUUUUUUUUGUUUGUUUGUUAAUUAAUGUCAAGGAUACAUCGAAGAACGAUCAUCUUUCACAAAGAAAACAGAGAAUUGAUAUCAUCUAACAACAAUAUCAAUGAUUUAUUUUAUUAACAAAAAUAUCAACUCGAAGACACAUAUCUUUCGAUUGGAAUAAUCGAUAAACAAACAUGGCUUAUUAAAUUUUCAUUUGAUUAAAACUUGGACAAAUUUAUGGUCAAAAAAAAAAAAAAAAAAUAAAAGAAUUA